rnacentral:tRNA from 2 species
GCGCCCGUAGCUCAGUUGGAUAGAGUGCAGGCCUCCGAAGCCUGAGGUCACAGGUUCGAUUCCUGUCGGGCGCGCCA